UGAAGAGUCUGGGUGCCAGCAGCCCCACAAGCCAUUUGGGGUCUUUAACUGUGGCUUCACACAUUAUUCUUUUGAAGUCAUUACCAAUUCAUGGUAGAUUAACAAUCCUGGGGCAUAAGGUUAAGAGGAUGCCAUACAUAUAUAAUGUCAAGAAUUUUUUUUCACUAUCCGAUGUGGGAUAUCACAGAUUGCCUUAUCAGCUUGAAGUCCUUUCCAGCAUUUACAAUGUCCAACUUAUACCAGAAAUGCAGCAUUAGGUGUUGAAUCAAUGGAACUGAUGGGGAAGACUUGGCAUUCAUCAAAAUUGAACAGGGUUUGCAGUUUACAUGAUGUGACAAUAAAAUGGGGUCAGAUCUCAAUUUGACAAGCUACCUCAGCAAUCCAAAAAGGACAUCAGUGUGGAUUGUCCUGUCUCAA